AUGGAUUACGGCGGCGGCGCCUCCCCGGAUCACUACGGCGGAGGCGGAGGAGGAAGCAUACGCCUGGUCUGCGACAACUGCGGCGCGGCGGAUAAGUACAACCCCGACGACGCCGAGGACGGCUUCUUCUCGUGCCGCCAGUGCUCCGUCGUCCACACCUCCACCCAGGCGACUGCCGCGGACCCCGACGAUUUCCAAGCCACCGGCACCAUGUCCUUCCGCCGAGUUAGCCAAGCCAACAAAACCCCCAAAUCCCGUACCCCCGCACCCUAA
rnacentral:rRNA from 1 species